CUACGGGCUGCUCCAGUGGGGAAUCUUGGACAAUGGGCGCAAGCCUGAUCCAGCCAUGCCGCGUGAGUGAAGAAGGUCUUCGGAUUGUAAAGCUCUUUUACCAGGGACGAUAAUGACGGUACCUGGAGAAUAAGCCCCGGCAAACUUCGUGCCAGCAGCCGCGGUAAUACGAAGGGGGCUAGCAUUGUUCGGAAUUACUGGGCGUAAAGCGCACGUAGGCGGGUCGUUAAGUCAGGGGUGAAAUCCCGGAGCUCAACUCCGGAACUGCCUUUGAUACUGGCGAUCUUGAGAUGGGAAGAGGUGAGUGGAAUUCCCAGUGUAGAGGUGAAAUUCGUAGAUAUUGGGAAGAACACCAGUGGCGAAGGCGGCUCACUGGUCCGAUACUGACGCUGAGGUGCGAAAGCGUGGGGAGCAAACAGGAUUAGAUACCCUAGUAGUC
rnacentral:rRNA from 1 species